rnacentral:tRNA from 1 species
GGCCUUUUCGUCCAGGGGUCUAAGACAACUCCUUUUCACGGAGCAGACACGGGUUCAAAUCCCGUAAAGGUCA